ACUAAGCGUACACGGUGGAUGCCCUGGCAGUCAGAGGCGAUGAAGGACGUGCUAAUCUGCGAAAAGCGUCGGUAAGGUGAUAUGAACCGUUAUAACCGGCGAUGUCCGAAUGGGGAAACCCAGUGCAAUUCGUUGCACUAUCGUUAACUGAAUACAUAGGUUAACGAGGCGAACCGGGGGAACUGAAACAUCUAAGUACCCCGAGGAAAAGAAAUCAACCGAGAUUCCCCCAGUAGCGGCGAGCGAACGGGGAGCAGCCCAGAGUCUGAAUCAGCUUGUGUGUUAGUGGAACGGUCUGGAAAGUCCGACGGUACAGGGUGAUAGUCCCGUACACCAAAAUGCACAGGCUGUGAACUCGAAGAGUAGGGCGGGACACGUGGUAUCCUGUCUGAAUAUGGGGGGACCAUCCUCCAAGGCUAAAUACUCCUGACUGACCGAUAGUGAACCAGUACCGUGAGGGAAAGGCGAAAAGAACCCCGGCGAGGGGAGUGAAAAAGAACCUGAAACCGUGUACGUACAAGCAGUGGGAGCACCUUCGGGUGUGACUGCGUACCUUUUGUAUAAUGGGUCAGCGACUUAUAUUCUGUAGCAAGGUUAACCGUAUAGGGGAGCCGCAGGGAAACCGAGUCUUAACUGGGCGUUAAGUUGCAGGGUAUAGACCCGAAACCCGGUGAUCUAGCCAUGGGCAGGUUGAAGGUUGGGUAACACUAACUGGAGGACCGAACCGACUAAUGUUGAAAAAUUAGCGGAUGACUUGUGGCUGGGGGUGAAAGGCCAAUCAAACCGGGAGAUAGCUGGUUCUCCCCGAAAGCUAUUUAGGUAGCGCCUCGUGAACUCAUCUUCGGGGGUAGAGCACUGUUUCGGCUAGGGGGUCAUCCCGACUUACCAACCCGAUGCAAACUACGAAUACCGAAGAAUGUUAUCACGGGAGACACACGGCGGGUGCUAACGUCCGUCGUGAAGAGGGAAACAACCCAGACCGCCAGCUAAGGUCCCAAAGUCAUGGUUAAGUGGGAAACGAUGUGGGAAGGCACAGACAGCCAGGAUGUUGGCUUAGAAGCAGCCAUCAUUUAAAGAAAGCGUAAUAGCUCACUGGUCGAGUCGGCCUGCGCGGAAGAUGUAACGGGGCUAAACCAUGCACCGAAGCUGCGGCAGCGACACUAUGUGUUGUUGGGUAGGGGAGCGUUCUGUAAGCCUGCGAAGGUGUGCUGUGAGGCAUGCUGGAGGUAUCAGAAGUGCGAAUGCUGACAUAAGUAACGAUAAAGCGGGUGAAAAGCCCGCUCGCCGGAAGACCAAGGGUUCCUGUCCAACGUUAAUCGGGGCAGGGUGAGUCGACCCCUAAGGCGAGGCCGAAAGGCGUAGUCGAUGGGAAACAGGUUAAUAUUCCUGUACUUGGUGUUACUGCGAAGGGGGGACGGAGAAGGCUAUGUUAGCCGGGCGACGGUUGUCCCGGUUUAAGCAUGUAGGCUGAUUGUCCAGGCAAAUCCGGAUAAUCAAGGCUGAGGUGUGAUGACGAGGCACUACGGUGCUGAAGUAACAAAUGCCCUGCUUCCAGGAAAAGCCUCUAAGCAUCAGGUAACAUCAAAUCGUACCCCAAACCGACACAGGUGGUCAGGUAGAGAAUACCAAGGCGCUUGAGAGAACUCGGGUGAAGGAACUAGGCAAAAUGGUGCCGUAACUUCGGGAGAAGGCACGCUGGUGUGUAGGUGAAGUCCCUGCGGAUGGAGCUGAGACCAGUCGAAGAUACCAGCUGGCUGCAACUGUUUAUUAAAAACACAGCACUGUGCAAACACGAAAGUGGACGUAUACGGUGUGACGCCUGCCCGGUGCCGGAAGGUUAAUUGAUGGGGUUAUCCGUAAGGAGAAGCUCUUGAUCGAAGCCCCGGUAAACGGCGGCCGUAACUAUAACGGUCCUAAGGUAGCGAAAUUCCUUGUCGGGUAAGUUCCGACCUGCACGAAUGGCGUAAUGAUGGCCAGGCUGUCUCCACCCGAGACUCAGUGAAAUUGAACUCGCUGUGAAGAUGCAGUGUACCCGCGGCAAGACGGAAAGACCCCGUGAACCUUUACUAUAGCUUGACACUGAACAUUGAGCCUUGAUGUGUAGGAUAGGUGGGAGGCUUUGAAGCGUGGACGCCAGUCUGCGUGGAGCCAACCUUGAAAUACCACCCUUUAAUGUUUGAUGUUCUAACGUUGGCCCCUGACCGGGGUUGCGGACAGUGUCUGGUGGGUAGUUUGACUGGGGCGGUCUCCUCCCAAAGCGUAACGGAGGAGCACGAAGGUUAGCUAAUCCUGGUCGGACAUCAGGAGGUUAGUGCAAUGGCAUAAGCUAGCUUGACUGCGAGCGUGACGGCGCGAGCAGGUGCGAAAGCAGGUCAUAGUGAUCCGGUGGUUCUGAAUGGAAGGGCCAUCGCUCAACGGAUAAAAGGUACUCCGGGGAUAACAGGCUGAUACCGCCCAAGAGUUCAUAUCGACGGCGGUGUUUGGCACCUCGAUGUCGGCUCAUCACAUCCUGGGGCUGAAGUAGGUCCCAAGGGUAUGGCUGUUCGCCAUUUAAAGUGGUACGCGAGCUGGGUUUAGAACGUCGUGAGACAGUUCGGUCCCUAUCUGCCGUGGGCGCUGGAGAAUUGAGGGGGGCUGCUCCUAGUACGAGAGGACCGGAGUGGACGCAUCACUGGUGUUCGGGUUGUCAUGCCAAUGGCACUGCCCGGUAGCUAAAUGCGGAAGAGAUAAGUGCUGAAAGCAUCUAAGCACGAAACUUGCCCCGAGAUGAGUUCUCCCUGAGACUUUAAGUCUCCUGAAGGAACGUUGAAGACGACGACGUUGAUAGGCCGGGUGUGUAAGCGCAGCGAUGCGUUGAGCUAACCGGUACUAAUGAACCGUGAGGCUUAACC
rnacentral:rRNA from 2 species